AGAGUUUGAUUAUGGCUCAGGACGAACGCUGGCGGCGGGCUUAACACAUGCAAGUCGAACGCGAAAGGGUCCUUCGGGGCCCGAGUAGAGUGGCGCACGGGUGAGUAACGCGUAGGCAACCUGCCCCCAAGUGAGGAAUAACUAUCGGAAACGGUGGCUAAUACCACACGCCGUCCCAGUCGCGCAUGCGAUCGGGAUGAAAGCCUUCGGGUGCUUGGGGAUGGGCCUGCGUCGGAUUAGCUAGUUGGUGAGGUAAAAGCUCACCAAGGCAACGAUCCGUAGCUGGUCUGAGAGGACGAUCAGCCACACUGGCACUGAGACACGGGCCAGACUCCUACGGGAGGCAGCAGUGGGGAAUCUUGGGCAAUGGGCGCAAGCCUGACCCAGCCACGCCGCGUGCAGGAAGACACCCCUACGGGGCGUAAACUGCUUUUACAAGGGAAGAAGGCCCUGUUUUGCAGGGUUUGACGGUACCUUGGGAAUAAGCACCGGCUAACUCCGUGCCAGCAGCCGCGGUAAUACGGAGGGUGCAAGCGUUGUCCGGAAUCACUGGGUGUAAAGAGUGUGUAGGUGGGGCUGUAAGUCAGAGGUGAAAGCCCGCGGCUUAACCGUGGAAUGGCCUUUGAUACUGCAGUUCUUGAGUCCUGAGAGGUCGUCGGAAUUCGUGGUGUAGCGGUGAAAUGCGUAGAUAUCACGAGGAACACCAGAGGCGUAGCGGAUGACUGGACAGGUACUGACACUG
rnacentral:rRNA from 1 species